rnacentral:misc_RNA from 1 species
UUUUGUUAUUGUGCUUCGGAUUUUGGCUCUAAUGAGGAGAUGCAAGUGGCAAUGGAAGAAGAAAGGUAAAUUGGCUACUGAGAUUUUUCCUUUUCUCUGGUCUCAAUUCUGAAUCUGUGAAUGAGAAAGGUGGAAGAGAGAGAAGGGCGACAAAUAUAAAAAAUAGGAUUUUGUUGCUUUUUUUAUUUUAAUUAAUUGUAUAAAAAAUACUAAAUAAUAUUUUAUAUUAUUUUUUCUCAACAAAUUAGGCGGAAAAAAAAAAAAUCAAUCCCAGUCUCUAGGAGUAAUUGCUUGUGUCACAUGACUUUUUACUUUCAGAAG